rnacentral:tRNA from 1 species
GGGCUGGGGCUCAGUGGCAGAGUGCUUGCCUCAUAUGUGUGAGGCACUGGGUUCAUUUCUCAGCAGUGCA